GUCGAACGGUAGCAGGAAGUGCUUGCACUUUGCUGACGAGUGGCGGACGGGUGAGUAAUGCUUGGGAACUUGCCUUUGCGAGGGGGAUAACAGUUGGAAACGACUGCUAAUACCGCAUAAUGUCUACGGACCAAACGGGGCUUAGGCUUCGGCGCAGAGAGAGGCCCAAGUGAGAUUAGCUAGUUGGUGGGGUAAAGGCUCACCAAGGCGACGAUCUCUAGCUGUUCUGAGAGGAAGAUCAGCCACACUGGGACUGAGACACGGCCCAGACUCCUACGGGAGGCAGCAGUGGGGAAUAUUGCACAAUGGGGGGAACCCUGAUGCAGCCAUGCCGCGUGUGUGAAGAAGGCCUUCGGGUUGUAAAGCACUUUCAGUUGUGAGGAAAAGUGAGUAGUUAAUACCUGCUCACCGUGACGUUAACAACAGAAGAAGCACCGGCUAACUCCGUGCCAGCAGCCGCGGUAAUACGGAGGGUGCGAGCGUUAAUCGGAAUUACUGGGCGUAAAGCGCACGCAGGCGGUUUGUUAAGCUAGAUGUGAAAGCCCCGAGCUCAACUUGGGAUGGUCAUUUAGAACUGGCAGACUAGAGUCUUGGAGAGGGGAGUGGAAUUCCAGGUGUAGCGGUGAAAUGCGUAGAUAUCUGGAGGAACAUCAGUGGCGAAGGCGACUCCCUGGCCAAAGACUGACGCUCAUGUGCGAAAGUGUGGGUAGCGAACAGGAUUAGAUACCCUGGUAGUCCACACCGUAAACGCUGUCUACUAGCUGUUUGUGGCUUUAAGCCGUGAGUAGCGAAGCUAACGCGAUAAGUAGACCGCCUGGGGAGUACGGCCGCAAGGUUAAAACUCAAAUGAAUUGACGGGGGCCCGCACAAGCGGUGGAGC
rnacentral:rRNA from 1 species